rnacentral:rRNA from 1 species
GACGAACGCUGGCGGCGUGCUUAACACAUGCAAGUCGAACGGAAAGGCCCUGCUUUCGUGGGGUGCUCGAGUGGCGAACGGGUGAGUAACGCGUGAGUAACCUGCCCUUGACUUUGGGAUAACUUCAGGAAACUGGGGCUAAUACCGGAUAGGAGCUCCUGCUGCAUGGUGGGGGUUGGAAAGUUUCGGCGGUUGGGGAUGGACUCGCGGCUUAUCAGCUUGUUGGUGGGGUAGUGGCUUACCAAGGCUUUGACGGGUAGCCGGCCUGAGAGGGUGACCGGCCACAUUGGGACUGAGAUACGGCCCAGACUCCUACGGGAGGCAGCAGUGGGGAAUAUUGCACAAUGGGCGGAAGCCUGAUGCAGCAACGCCGCGUGCGGGAUGACGGCCUUCGGGUUGUAAACCGCUUUCGCCUGUGACGAAGCGUGAGUGACGGUAAUGGGUAAAGAAGCACCGGCUAACUACGUG